rnacentral:ncRNA from 1 species
CCCGGGGCGCGAGCCCGGGCGGAGCGGCCGUCGGUGCAGAUCUUGGUGGUAGUAGCAAAUAUUCAAAUGAGAACUUUGAAGGCCGAAGAGGAGAAAGGUCGCAUGUGAACGGCACUUGCACAUGGGUAAGCCGAUCCUAAGGGACGGGGUAACCCCGGCAGAUAGCGCGAUCACGCGCAUCCCCCGAAAGGGAAUCGGGUUAAGAUUUCCCGAGCCGGGAUGUGGCGGUUG